rnacentral:rRNA from 1 species
UAAUACGAACCGUCCAAACGUUAUUCGGAAUUACUGGGCUUAAAGGGUUCGUAGGCGGCCUUGUAAGUGGGGUGUGAAAUCCCUCGGCUCAACCGAGGAAUGGCGCUCCAAACUACAAGGCUUGAGGGAGACAGGGGUAAGCGGAACUGAUGGUGGAGCGGUGAAAUGCGUUGAUAUCAUCAGGAACACCGGUGGCGAAAGCGGCUUACUGGGUCUCUUCUGACGCUGAGGAACGAAAGCUAGGGUAGCGAACGGGAUUAG